CGAUUUGCACUGGGGGCUGAAGAUGCGGAGGCGGCGGGGCGCCAGGCGCUUACGGGGGCGCUGCGCUGGGAGGCUUAGCACGGGGCCGGGGGACCGUGGGCGGCGGCGGCGGCGGCGGCAGGAGUCCUUCCAGGUCCUGCUUCCUCGGCGAAUCCUGCUGCCCGUGACUCAAGGCAACUGACUUUCGUCCGAAACCUCAGCUCCAAAUGCCUCGCUCUAGAAGCUAGAGCUUUGGAGGUUCUGAGGACCGCCCCGGGGGAGCAGGUGGCAGGCUGUGCGGCUCCCUCUUCCCCUCCGUCCUGCACAGGUACCGAGGGAGAGUGGGCCAGAAACGGCUUGGCUGCCGAAUGCUAUCUUCCCAUUUUCAUAGCCCGAUGCCGCACAAACGAUCGCCUGCUCGAUCGAAAUAGGAGGGAAAGGUAGAGUGGAAAUUGAUUCCUUGCAGAGACUGAGGCGCCGAGUGAUAGAAGGAAUAAACAUUUGCCCUGGAUAAAAAUGUUCUUGGCUGAAUUCCAUUCCUAAUGAUGUUCCAGAGCAGAACUUUUUCUCCAGACAUCUCAGUUUACCAAAAGGAUGAUUUCUGUGUAUGUCUCUGUGUUUUAGAGAGACAGAUGUUGCUGGGAGGAUCUGAGGUCCAC